UUGUCAAUACAUUUAGGGUUGCCAGGUUUAGCAAAUAAAGAUAGAGGAUGCCCAAUUAAAUUUGAAUUUCAGAUAAACCACAAAUAAUUUUUAAUAGA